rnacentral:lncRNA from 1 species
GUUGUUUUAGACCAAGUGUUGAACUUAUGAUCCAUAUGAGGGAAGAUCUACAUGAUAUAUGAUAUUUUAUGGUUAGAUCUUGCCAUUUUUAGGGUUGAUAAGCUUGAACAAAGAAGAUGAACCAAAACAGUUUUUUGUUUUAAAUGAAUUAGUGAACUGCUGCUCUAAACAGAAAAUUUCGGAUUUGUUAAGGUGCUCUAAAAAUUCUGGACUUGUGAUAUGUUAUAGUACACUCAAUAAGCUUUCCAUAGACUCCGAAACGGACUAAAUCCGACAUCGGAGGAGCAAGUUAUGGAAGUUUUACCAAACUACACAAAGUUAAGAAAAACUGUUAGAAGGACAGUUUGUAACAGCCACUUCCGGGCUAAAUUCCUGGAGCUUAACAUAUCCAAAUAUGGAUUGUGAUAUAUGAAAACUAUAGUUUGGAAAGAUACGAAUCCAACAAAAUUGACGGAUCAUUAUUCGGAGUUACAGAUUUCGUUUUAUUUAAGUUUUGGUGAAGGACUCCAAAACUGCCAAAGUGCAAAAAGUUUCUG